AGGAUUAGAUACCCUGGUAGUCCACGCCGUAAACGAUGAGUGCUAAGUGUUAGGGGGUUUCCGCCCCUUAGUGCUGCAGCUAACGCAUUAAGCACUCCGCCUGGGGAGUACGGUCGCAAGACUGAAACUCAAAGGAAUUGACGGGGGCCCGCACAAGCGGUGGAGCAUGUGGUUUAAUUCGAAGCAACGCGAAGAACCUUACCAGGUCUUGACAUCCUCUGACAACCCUAGAGAUAGGGCUUUCCCUUCGGGGACAGAGUGACAGGUGGUGCAUGGUUGUCGUCAGCUCGUGUCGUGAGAUGUUGGGUUAAGUCCCGCAACGAGCGCAACCCUUGAUCUUAGUUGCCAGCAUUCAGUUGGGCACUCUAAGGUGACUGCCGGUGACAAACCGGAGGAAGGUGGGGAUGACGUA
rnacentral:rRNA from 1 species